GGGCACAGGCGCUUGCGCAAUAGGGUGGCCGCUCCCGGCCGCGUGCAGCGCGAACCUCCGCGCAAGCGCCAAGGCUGGGGCAGUUGGCCGACAUGCCACUGCGCAUGUGUACCAACUACAAGGGUUGGUGCUGGGGUUGAGGCUUUCGAUUAACACCGCAGCCGAAGAGGAAGGUAAUGCUGUGCCUCUUUGUCGAGCCAAACCCACCCCCAGCUUUAUUAACCUUCAAGCAAGUUCCCCACCAGCCACUUGCCUGACAAUCCCGGCAGCAAAGCUGUCCUCAGGAAUUGACCACAAGCCCAAGGAAUGCCUAGGACUCCUAGAAUUGGGGUUUUCCAGAGGCUACAUGGAUGUGAUAUCACAACAGAUUGGAUACAGGCCCCUGAUCAACCAAGCCAUUCACCACUACCGUCCAGAACUCCAUGUAUACUCGACCUCAGGCCACUUCUGCCAUACAAAGUAAACGACUGACUAGGUGUGAUGCUCAAGGCUCUGGUCCGGGAAGGAUCUCCCUCCAUGGUGUCCUUUAGGGCCACCCCUGAGUAAGGCUGUGAUACGGCAGCAGCCCAUUUACAGCUAGCCCCAGUGUAUCAUGUUGACCCAUCUCUGGACCAGACUGGGUUUUUGUUUUAACUUUGAUUUACAGAGAAUUUAGAACAUACACAUAAGUAAAUAGUAUAUGAACUCCCAUCUAUCCCUAACUCAGGCUUAACCAUGGCCAUUUCUGUCCCAUUCAUCUCCCCUCUCAUGAUAUUUUAAACAAGUUGCACACAUUACAUAAUUUCACUGUAAAUAUUUUAGUAUGUAUCACUAAAAUAUAAAUGCUUUUGAAAAAUGACAUUAUUAUUGCACUUGAAAAUAGCAAUAAUACCUUAAUAUCAAAUAUAUAGGAAGUGUUCAAAAUCAGACCUGAGUUUUUGUUCCUCUGUCAGUUGGUCUUGGAAAGUUUCCCACGAGGCCAUAAAUAUAAGUUGAGGGAAAAGCACUGGCGCAAAGGACAUAGACAGUCUGGACCACCAGUUGAUGUAAUUAGCAUGGGUCUUUUGGCUCUGCUCAGGCCUAAUCCCAAAUAUGCCAUUUUCCCAUUGUACAAUUGAUUGCUGCUGUGCCCCCCCAAUCUUAUGACUCAGUGGAUCUGAUAAUACCCAGUCAAGAUGAGUAGCUCUGGAUGAAUAGUCACUCGAUGUCCCAUAGUCAGUGCUGGGUCUGUGCUCAAGCCCUAUAGCCCAUUUUUCAAAUGAUAACAUUCUCUUUCACAGUAGGCAGAGUUUGGCCCCAGAACCCUGAGUCUGUGUUACAGCCCUCCUAUUGGGGCUUUUUAGAGACUCUCUACAACGUUCUAAUCCACUGUAGAGGCCUUUGGAUUCAUUGUGUUUUUUGUGUGUCAUGUGGCUUUAGUGGCAGGACAGCUUCAAUCAUAGCCUGGACAUGCCAUAGAGCUCUCUCUUGCUUUGAACCCCACUCAAAACUGAUAGCCCUUCAGGUCACAAUAAAUGGUUUGGAGCAAUAUUCCCAUGUGUGGGAUAUGUUGCCUCCAGAAUCUAAAGAGUUCUGCCAGCUUCCCUGGUGGCGCAGUGGUUGAGAGUCCGCCUGCCAAUGCAGGGGACACGGGUUCGUGCCCCGGUCUGGGAAGAUCCCACAUGCCGCGGAGUGGCUGGGCCCGUGAGCCAUGGCCGCUGAGCCUGUGCAUCCGGAGCCUGUGCUCCGCAAUGGGAGAGGCCACAAGAGUGAGAGGCCCGCGUACCGCAAAAAAACCCAAACCAAACAAAACAAACAACAACAGCAAAAAUGUUAAUUAUAUUUAUUUAUUUGAGGCUUCCCUGGUGGCACAGUAGUUAAGAACACGCCUGCCAACGCAGGGGACAUGGGUUUGAGCCCUGCUCCAGGAAGAUCCCACAUGCCGCGGGGCAACUAAGCCUGUGCACCACAGCUACUGAGCCUGUGCUCUAGAGCCUGUGCUCCGCAACAGGAGAAGCCACCGCCAUGAGAAGCCCGUGCUGCAACGAAGAGUAGCACCCCCCUUGCGGCAAACAGAGAAAGCUCGCUCAGCAAAGACCCAACGCAGCCAAAAAAAAAAUAAUAAUAAUAACUUAUUUGGCCAUGUGGCAUAUGGGAUUUAAGUUCCCUGACCAGGGAUCGAAGCCAUGCCCCCUGCAGUGGAAGCGAGGAGUCUUAACCACAGACCACCAGGGAGGUCCCCAGUAAUGUCUUCACUUUAAGGGCAUAAAACUUUAGAGGCCCAAAAGGGUGUACCACACAGUAAAGUUUCCCUCCUGCAUCCGGGUCUCCACCACGCAGUUCCCAUCCCAGAGGCAACUAAUGUUUCUGGUCUCUCCUGUAUCCUCCCAGAGCUGCUCAGACAUUUAGUUAUAAAAGUAAACACCGGCCCCUCACCAGGCCAUUCAUCUGUUUCCUAAAUGCGUGGUAAGCACCUUCUCAGCCAGGCUCUAGGCGGCCAGAGAGAACCCUUACCCCUUAGGGGAUCUAGGGGUUGCAGGGGAGAGGAAGAUCUCUCAGAAGGGCAGAAACGGAGCAGAAGGGAUGGCUUUCCAAGGAGAGGGAACAGCAUAUGCAAAGGCUUAGCGGUGUGACACCUGAUGUGUGUCCAGGUCCCUAGUGUGCCUUCUGCAUGCGAGGCAGGAGGGGGUCUGCACCACCUCAGUCAGGCUGGACUCCCAGAGUCCGGGGUCUUUGGGCUACAACCUGCAUGCUCUUGCCCCUCAGCCUGAGGUCUCUCAGAGUCUAGAGAGGGUUUGUUCAUCCGUCCCUUCCUAGAAAGGAGCCACCCCUGGCCAGUGGGACCCCUGGCGUCUGCUUAGCCAGGGGGCUGGGCCCAGCCCUAGUCCCGAGGGGGAGACCUACUUUACCAUGGUUGUGAGGGUGAAAUCAGUUUAUAGAGUGUUUUGUACAAUGCUCGACACAGAGUACGUUUGCAGUUCGUGUUGGCGUUGUAACUGUUCCCAGGACACCCUAACCAUCCCCGUCUCAAUGUCCUCUCUCUGUGGGAACGUCAGUAUCCUCCUUGCUCACUCCUGGCCCCCCAGAUUCUUCUCCAGGCUCCCAGAACUCCACUGAACCGCAGCCUUCCCCUUGGUUUCUCAGGAAGGGCAGUAGGGGGAGCCUCGCCGGGGCACAGGACCCUGUGAGCUGAGGUGUUCACAGUGGAGAGAAAGACUGCCCCUCCUGGCCCCUCAACUCCGCCUCUUCUCACCCAUCCUCCUUUAAAAGGAACCCACCCCCCACUCAUUACCGAGCCCCAGCAGCCAGGCCCUGGCGAAAGCCCUGGCUAAAGGCAGCAAUUAGAUCGUUAGCACCAGCCCCAACCCACCUGCUUGGAGUCCCUCAAACGCAUUUUAAUUAUAAUCCCUUAAUCUCCCUCAGAUGGCGAGGCUGGCUCUAGGGCUUUUGCCCCAAAUAGCCCCUUCCCUCACUCUCUUCCCCCAAUUAAGGGGUCCUCUCAGCAGAGAGCCCCUCUCCCAGCUAAAGGCCUCCCCUCCUGGGAGCGGCCGCCUCACGGGCUCUGUCGCCCUCUCUACGGGAAGUGGCCCCAGAUGGCCGGCUAGUCCGCCUGACGUUCCCAUGUGUGUGGCUGCGCCCCCUCGGAUAAUGUGCCUCCUGCCUGGGCACGAGCUGAGAUGCCUGGGACCACUUGUCUCUGCCUUGGUCUCCUCUUGUCCUGGUUUCUUUGUGUCCUCCGGGUAGCAUCUCCCCCCCGACCCUUUCACAAUGACUUCUAUUUUCCUGUCAACCCAUCCAUGCCACCCUGUCCGGGCCAGCUGUCUCCUUGGCAAUUCCAUGCAGGAGCAGCCAGGUUCUGUCACAGGUGGAACUGAGGCCAGGGCCCUGACGGGACGUCUCCUGGUGGCAGCGCUAUAGUGACCUCCAGCUGACCUCAGCAGAGUGCAGCCUUGCCCUCCCGCCCCUCGUUGCCCAUCAGGGCUCUGAGACCCUCCGCCACGUAGGGACUGGCAGAACAUUGGGCGGCCUCUGUCCCUGAGCUCUGAGCAGGGCAGAGGCAGGGGGAGGGACAAGAUGACCCAGCAUGUGGCCCUGUCUGAAGCUGAGCCUGGAUGAAGCUCUUUCCUGGGAAAGUUCUGUCACUAAUUGACUUGCAAAUGCCUUGUUUGUCCCCAGAUUCAUAAUUAGUGCUAAGGAUUUCUAGGGCCCCAUCCCGGAGGGGGCUUUUUUUGGGGCAGCCUGUUCCUCUCCCCUCUCUGAGGUCGGCCGGGCUGGGGGUGGGCAGAGCCGGGCACCGGUGCCCAGCUGCCGUCCAGCGUUCCCACGGCUCUGGUGCCAGCGUGUGAAAGGCGAGGUGUGGGGGACGCGGGGGCUGGGGCUCCCCGCCAUCCUUCAGCCGGGACCAGGGCCAAAGCCCUGAGGCUCCAGGAAACACCAGAGCUGGGGAGCGGAGCGGGCAGUGGCAGUGGGUGGGGGCCGGCUGGCACCCCCAGGAAGGAGAGCCCAGCCGGUGCCUGGGCUGGCAUUGGCCGAGCCUCCAGCAAAAUGAAUGGGCCAACAAGGGGCCUCUCUUCCCCACAGCUUCCCCACAAAGGC